GGCGCGGACCUGCUCACUGUUUAUCAAGUCAUGCUGUGGCAGGAGUCUCACGUAUAAAGUAGGGGGUGAUGGGCACAGAUGUUAGCUCAGCAACAAUCUUCCUCAAGCAG